UCUCACCUUUUCCACCAAAGACAAACAUGCCUCGAAAUUUAUCUCUAUUACCAUGUUAAAGGGAACUUUGUCUAUAUUUAGAAAAAUGAGAUACUCAAUGGCUACGCCGGUUUGUGUAUCCCUCCGCCUCUGAUGACAGAUGAGAGGCACUAUGGGGCCUCCCUUUGAUUUAUUUGAAAGGGAGGGACGAUCAGGUGGGGUUUUUUAUGGGUCCAUAAGACACGUGAAGUGCUAAUCCAUGUGUGCCAGUGUGAAGAUGUAAGAAGAAGAGUACUGUAGAUGGGGAUGACAGCUUGAGGGAAAGCACUGAAAGACUCCUCUGCUACCUCUCUAUUGUUUGUUGUUUUGAAGCCUUAGUUCCCAGCAAAGUGACAAGUCUGAAGGAUUCUCUUGUUUAUUUGUUUGCAAGUGCAAUUAAAUUACACUAGUUCAAUUAUUGCCUUUUUCA